rnacentral:rRNA from 1 species
AUGAAAACCUGCCUAUCCCAUAUAAUUAGAGACCAUUCCCUUGAUUUUAUUUAUUUGCAAGAAACUUUAAAGAAGAAUUUCCUGGAGAGUUAUUUCAGGAAACUUGACCCUUAUAGUUUGUUUGAGUGGGAUUGGAUCCCCUCAAUUGGUAAGGCUGGGGGUAUCCUAUGUGGUGUUAAAAAAGAAAAAUUUGAAGUAGUUGCUUGGAGGAAAGGCAGAUUUAUUCUGCAGGUAUCUCUUUAUGAUAUCAUUAUGAAAAAAAUUUGGACACUUUGUACAGUGUAUGGAGCGGCUCAUGAGUGUGACAAGAGUGAUUUCCUUAGUGAACUGGAGGAUUUUUGCUGCCACAUUCAAACCCCCCUGUUGAUUGGAGGUGACUUCAAUAUUCUUAGGCAUAGUGGGGAGAGAAAUAAAAGAUGGCACCGUUCGGUGCACUCUGAUCUGUUUAAUUCAAUCAUCAACACUAUGUGUUUGAAUGAGAUUCAUAUGAGUGGAGGAGCCUACACUUGGUCUAAUAAUCAAGCGCAUCCCACCUUGGAGAAACUGGAUCGUGUGCUUAUGAGCAACGAUUGGGAAGACAUGUUUCCUCUUGUUAACAUGAAAAAGCUCGUUAGGGAGGUCUCUGACCACAAUGCUCUCCUUUUGUACUCUGAUAAUCAUGUUAUUAGAGCUCCACAAAAGAGAGAGUUUAGAUUUGAGAUGAGUUGGUUAAAAUCUGAGGAGUUUGUUCCUCUAGUUAACAAGAUUUGGAACCAAAAAGUGAAUGCUACCGAUCCUAUUGAUAUCUUGAAUAUCAAACUGAAAAGACUUCAAAAAAAUUUCAAAGGCUGGGGAUCAAACAAGUUUGGUCAUGAGAAGAAAAGGAAGCAGGAGAUUAGAGACGAACUUGCUUUUAUUGAAAAACUAGAAGAGGAUGUAAUAUUGACCAUGAAAUAUUUGGUAGGAAAAUUGAUCUCCUAG